rnacentral:tRNA from 1 species
CGGCGGCGUGGCGGCCGGGCUGCGGCCCCGCUCCUGGUGGGGCCGGCUGGUCACCGGCACGGCGCUGGUGCUGCAGGC